rnacentral:rRNA from 1 species
GAACCAGUACCGUGAGGGAAAGGCGAAAAGAACCCCGGCGAGGGGAGUGAAAAAGAACCUGAAACCGUGUACGUACAAGCAGUGGGAGCACCUUCGGGUGUGACUGCGUACCUUUUGUAUAAUGGGUCAGCGACUUAUAUUCUGUAGCAAGGUUAACCGUAUAGGGGAGCCGCAGGGAAACCGAGUCUUAACUGGGCGUUAAGUUGCAGGGUAUAGACCC